AUUGUUUUUGAGUUUCCCAACUCUAAUUUUCGGGUUUCUCUUUCAAUCACACGGGCCAUAGAUCAACUUCACAUUUCCAAGUUAUUUUCUUUGUUUUAUUUCAGAUGAAAAAAGGUGCCAUCCAUCUCCCAUCCAUCUCAGUUCAUCUGUAGAAAAUAGGGCGCCCAGAUUACAGCCAGCCCUUCCAAACUCCCCG